rnacentral:lncRNA from 1 species
GCAGGACGGGGCUUCAGGGGCUGACGGCCUGUCCACCUGGAAAAGCCAGGCACCUGCUCUGGGGCACAGACUUGACCAAGGCAAAGUCCCUCCCCGUCAGAAAACCCAGCCGUGUCCAAGAGACAGGGGACAGGCAGGUCAGUAUGCGGUAAGACGCGCUGUGUGGCCCUGGCGGGGCAAUUUCCCUCUCCGAGCUUCUAUUCCCUCCUCUAUAAACAGAGACAGUCCCUCGACUCGGCGAGAUGAUGGCUGUGAACUUGACUCUACAGGAGAGAGCACCUCCAGCCCUCAGAAGGCUUUGCCCUCUCCACCCGGCACCCUGGGCAGGCGGUUUCCUCACCCAUGAUGUGGGAGCCAUCACUCCCACCUCCCAGGGCGGCAGUGAGGAGGGGAAACAGAGACCUGAGAGCUCCAGCACCCGGCCUGGCACGUAGUGGGUGCACAGGAAAUGCUGAGGGUGUUGUGCUGUCCACACCUGUGGCCCCCAGGACCCACAACCCAGGACUGGGCAGUGCUGAGCCAUGGCGACUGGCUUUGCCAUUCACCACAUCAAAGCCUUUGUUAAAACUUGGUUAGGGUCUAUUAAUUGCACACACUGAUGAAGUUCCUUGUGACAGCUCAUUACGUGCACACAGCACGCUCUGAUCAAAUCCAGCCUCUUUUACCCACCCUCCACCCCCAACCAACACGGGCUGCAGUGUCUCUUUGCUCUGCUGAUUCCUAUUCUAUAUUUAAGGGUUUUUUCCCCUUGACUUCCACGCAUGCCAGAGGACAUGUGGUGCUAGUCUUUCUCUCUCUAGUUUAUUUCACUUAACAUAAUGUUCUCCGUCAAUUUUGCUGCAGAUGACAGAAUUUCCUUCUUCUUCAUGGCUAAGUAAUAUUCCACUGUACACACACCACACUCCCUUUACCCAUUCAUCUGGUGACGGGCACCCAGGCGCGUUGCAUGUCUUGGCUGUUGUGAACAGUGCUGCGAUGUUCGCAGGCUACAGGUGUCUCUUUGCCCUAUUGAUGGUACUUCCUGUGGAUCUUGACCCAGUAGAGAUCCUGGAUGUCAUGGUAGACUAUUUUCGAUUGUUG